rnacentral:lncRNA from 1 species
UUUCUAUGUAAGAUUGGGGAGCUUAAAAAACUUGUUGAAGAGGGAAAAAUAAAAUACAUUGGUUUGUCUGAGGCCUCACCUUCAACAAUCAGAAGAGCUCAUGCAGUUCAUCCAAUAACAGCUGUGCAAUUGGAGUGGUCACUUUGGGCAAGAGAUGUGGAGGAAGAAAUAAUUCCAACUUGCAGGUUUGAUUUAGUUUCUAGUAAUAUUAUUUGAUAAAAUUGCAAUGAUAUGAAUCACCGACACCGACACUGAAUACAUUAAUGAUAUACGUAGGCACAAGUAAUAGUUUGAGAAAAUGAAAGUGAUUAAAUGUAACUACAUGUAUUAUUGGUGUCGUGUCUGACAUCAAACACCUUUUUCAUCUGAAUUGUCGGUGCUACAUAAAUAAAUAUGAAGUCUAAUUUUAUAAGCCAUGAUUUUAUUUCUUAGGGAACUUGGUAUUGGAAUUGUUGCAUAUAGUCCUCUUGGGAGAGGAUUCUUUUCAUCUGGAACAAAGAUUACUGAUACCUUUACAAAGGAAGACUACCGUCAGGUUUGUGGAAAAGCAAGCAUUUACAUAAAUUCAUAUCAAUUACUUGUUCAUUUUGUUAAUCAACUGGUAAGUAUGAGACACCGACACAAAAAUUGACAUGCUGUUGACACAUGACACUGACACAGACAUCAAUAAUAAUGUAAGUAAAUAUAAGUGACUGAAUAUAACCAUGUGUGUUGAAUACCGACCACACCUUCAAUUUGAAGGGUCGGCGUUACAUACGCUUCGUUUAUAAAAAGGCUACUCACAUCGAGAGAUGAUAGCUAUGUUGGCACCCAAGCUGCUAAUAAUAUAAACUACUGUGACUACAAGUCUUGAACUUAUAUAGCAAUCCUAACUGAAUCAGUUAAGUUAGUUAUGAGUAGUAACUGAUAUAACGGAAAGAUGCAGCAAACGAUUCUAACUGAAACUUGAGUGUUUAACAUAUUUGUUUGUAACAAAUUUUAAGACACAUAGUAUUAGUAAACACAGUUUGUAACUCUGGAAAAUAAACAGAACCAUUUGAUUUGAUCAAUGUGUUUUGAUACACUUAGUAUGGUUUUCCAAAGAAAAAUAUGUAAAUUAAGAGCAUUAAGAGACAUCAUAGAGACUAGUAGACAUCAGAGAGACAUCUAGUAGCACUAAUCCUUUCAAACAAGUUUAAAACCUAGAAUUAUGUGUAUUUUUCAUGGUUGACACGAGUUUAAUAGAUAUGCUCUGUCAAUGUAAUUUACACUGACAUCCAAUAUGAAUCAGGCAUUUCACCAUGUCAUACAAUUAAAGUGGGGUGUAGUGGGGUGAUUUGACGGAAUACACGGUCGCUAUUAAAUGACAGUGUAAAAUUAGUUUACACUGUCUGUGCAUAUAUUAUUUUGUCAUACCUAAUAUAUAACUUGUAUUUGUGUAAAUAUGUUUGCAGCAUAUGCCAAGAUUUCAACCUGAAAACCUGCAGCAAAAUCAGAUUAUAUUUGAGAGGGUUAAUGAAUUGGCUACAAAGAAAGGAUGUACUCCAUCUCAACUUGCAUUGGCCUGGCUUCAUCACCAAGGAAACGACGUGUGUCCGAUACCUGGAACAACCAAAAUUGAGAACUUUAAUCAAAACAUUGGAGCUUUGUCGGUAAAAUUAACACCAGAAGAACUGGCAGAAAUUGAGUCCUUAGCAGAUAUUGUUAAAGGCGAUAGAUCUGGGAGUGAACCUACAUGGAAAGACUCUGAUACUCCACCACUUUCUUCUUGGAAAACUGCAUAAUGAAGUGGUUUGAUUGCUUAUUAAUCGUAUCAACAUAAUUUUAAAUUGUGGUUGCAAUUACGCUAUGAAAUUUUAUUCUAUGUUAAAAUACGGGCAAAUGUGGCUGCAUAUUCGGUUGCAGACUACUAUUUAGAAUCAUAAAUAUCAGUAUUCCAUAUGUAUUUGAUGUUACUACCUUAAAAAUUAAUAAAUUGGUCCGAGGAAAAGGAUUUUGGUUGUAUAAACAUCUAUAGUUUCUAGCAUAUGUGUGAUUUGAACUCUAAUGAAUAUGACUCUAUUAUAUUGAGUUUAAUAAAUUUUAUCCAUAAAUUGUAAUAGCUAAUAAAUUUUGCAUAGGUUUUAAUUUUUUAUAUGCGUAUCAUGUUUUCUAAUUUUAGACCAGAAAAUAUGUUGUAACCAAAAAAUGUCCAGAAAAUAUGUUUGUUUUUGUUGUUUAAAUUUGAGAUCUAAAAUGGAAAACAACAUAAAAACUAGUAAUUGAAAUUGUCUCAAGGCAACACAGCAUUCAUAAAUACAACCAUAUGACAUACAUAAACAAGAAAAUAUAAAAAUCAACACAUGGUCCAUGCAUGGGUCCAAAGAACCAAUGUGGUGUCACCUCAAAAGGUUCAAAGAAGUCAUGUUGAUAUACGUAAUAAUUGAAGGAUACAUUUUGAGUAAAUUAUACACGCUCUUUUUUUUGUCAAGUAGUUUAGUGGCUAGACUCACACAUUUAAAUGUAAAAAAAUGUAGAACCUGAGAUUCGAAUCCCGACCACCCCAAUACACACUCUUCUCUUCUAAAACAGUAACAUUAGCAUCCUAAUAGAUACACGCGUAGACGCGCGUGUACCAUGCCAAGAUCAAGUUCACCAAAAACAAUUAUAGACAGAAAAGUAAACUAGGUUGAAAAAAUGUGACAAUGGGGCCUGACCUUCCUUUCUAACAAUCAAGUGAUAAUGGUGAUGUUUUCUUUGCAGGCAUUGUUAGGUAGACGUUGAGGAUAAAUUUUUCUCUCGAGAAGCCCCGUGGGGGACGGGGACCUGUUGUAGUAGUUCCUCGGUUUUCAGAUAAUGGACGCUUUAACAGACAUUGAGUUGAAUUUGCCGUAUGGAAUUUAUGUAUGUGUCUCUGAAUCAAAUUAAAAUUAUUAGCUAAUAGAUACAAUUUUUUUGUAUUGUUUAUCAUAUUCUCUUUAAUUUGUAGAAAUUGAAAUUUAGCUAAGAUGUUGAAUCAAUUUUUUACAUCAGGAUAGUAGUCAUGCAAAUAUGACAUUGCGUGGAUCACUGAGAAAUUUUCAGCACAAAUCGUGAUUGAUACUAUAAUGUUCUGCUUAAAGUAUCAAUGUUGAGUUCUUCGGUCCAAGCUUAAUGAUCAUAAAAGAAUAGAUGCAUGUAGUUUGUAUGCUUCAUUAUGCCAAAAAUCAUUAGUUUUGGUGUCAUGAACUCUACAAAUAUGAAGUCACGAAUAUUUCAUACACUUCAAUAUAGUUAAAUAUGUAGGCUUAUGCAAUUUGUCAUUUUAUAUUAUUAACAUGCAUGUUGUAGGUGAAAUUGGUAGCUCUACUGACUCGAGCUAAGGGUGAAAGUAGCUAAGGGAGAAAACGACAGAUAUUAGAGAUAAUACAAUGUAUGCAUUGACUUUAAACUAUUAGUAUUGGAGCAUAUGAUACUUUUCUUUAAAGAAUCAAUUUUGAAUUUCAUAUAUACUAGGAGGAAUAAAUAAUUUCUAUAACACUANNNNNNNNNNNNNNNNNNNNNNNNNNNNNNNNNNNNNNNNNNNNNNNNNNNNNNNNNNNNNNNNNNNNNNNNNNNNNNNNNNNNNNNNNNNNNNNNNNNNNNNNNNNNNNNNNNNNNNNNNNNNNNNNNNNNNNNNNNNNNNNNNNNNNNNNNNNNNNUAUAUAUAUAUCUAAAAUAUUAUAUAUUUAUGAAUAUUAGAAUAUCUUAUUUAAGUUACUUCAAACAUUUUUAUGUUACUCAUUUUGCCACAAUAGCUCCAAUCUUAUGAAAAUAAAAAAUAAAUAAGUUCAUUUAGAUCGAUGCUCUUAGUGGAAAUAUAUAUAUGCAAUGACUUGAUGGCCAAGUUUUGUGCUCCUCGGAUUAAGACAUUCGUCUAGUUGCCAAAUUGGAACUUAAUUUUUCUCCUUGUUUUUCCUUUCCUUGACUUUUCUUUAUAAUUUAAUUUUCACCUUUUAAUCAAAGUUUACCCUUUAAUUUCUUUUGUCGUAUGAUGAAAAAUAAUUAUAAAUAGUGCAAGGGGAGGGGAUACAAUUGACAACUUUAACUUUGUGUGGCCUUUACAUAGAAAGAGAAAACAUUUUGUUUAGUGUUGUAUUGUGAGACUCAUAGCAAUGGCAAAAGUGGGAAGAAUGAAGUUGGGAUCACAAGGUAUGGAAGUGUCUUUACAAGGACUUGGUUGCAUGAGCAUGUCUGCUUUUUAUGGUCCUCCUAAGCCUGAACCUGACAUGAUUUCUCUCAUCCACCAUGCCAUUCAAUCUGGUGUCACUCUUCUUGAUACUUCUGAUUUCUAUGGCCCUCAUACAAAUGAACUCCUUCUUGGAAAGGUUCUGAUCACUUUUUCUUAUUAAUAUAUUAUAUUUAGUCGUUUAAUUAUACUUUACUACCUCUCAGCCGAAUUCUAGCUUUUCGAGGCUCUUCAAUAGAGGGCUAAAAAAAAGAACAAAUGAUUGUGAAUUUGUGAUGAAGUGUGCAUGUUUGAAAUUGUGGAACAGGCUCUCAAAGGAGGGGUAAGAGAAAAGGUUGAAUUGGCUACCAAGUUUGGAGCUAGAACUAUUGAUGGGAAGUUUGAGAUUUGUGGUGAUCCAGCUUAUGUGAGAGAAGCUUGUGAAGCCAGCUUGAAAAGACUUGAUAUUGAUUGUAUUGAUCUCUAUUAUCAACAUCGUAUUGAUACUCGUCUUCCAGUUGAAGUCACGGUUUGAUUCUUCUAACUUCUCUUUAAUUUGAUUUUGGUAGUAUAAAAUGUGUAUACCGUGAAGCAUUGUCUAAGCUAUGAAAUUGAAUUAUUUAUUCAAAUAUAUACAAAGACAAUUUGUGACAACUUCAACUUUUCCCUUUUUUUAUGGAAGAUUGGCGAGCUUAAGAAACUUGUUGAAGAGGGAAAAAUAAAAUACAUUGGUUUGUCUGAGGCCUCACCUUCAACAAUCAGAAGAGCACACGCAGUUCAUCCGAUAACAGCUGUGCAAUUAGAGUGGUCACUUUGGUCAAGAGAUGUGGAAGAAGAAAUAAUUCCAACUUGCAGGUUUGAUUUAGUUUACAACCAUUAUCUUCUGUUAUCUAGCAUUUGUCUUUCUAGUAAUUUGAUAAAAUUGUAAUGAUAUGAAUCACCGACACAAACACUGGAUACGAUAAUAACAUGUAGAUACCAGUAAUAGUUUCAGAAAAUGAAAGUGAUAAAUUGUAACUACAUGUAUUGGCGUCAUGUCUGAC